rnacentral:rRNA from 1 species
GACAGAGGGUGCAAACUUUGUUCGGAAUUACUGGGCGUAAAGCGCGUGUAGGCGGCCCGGAAAGUCGGAUGUGAAAGCCCUGGGCUUAACCUAGGAAGUGCAUUCGAAACUGCUGGGCUUGAGUUCUGGAGAGGAAGGCGGAAUUCUCGGUGUAGAGGUGAAAUUCGUAGAUAUCGAGAGGAACACCGGUGGCGAAGGCGGCCUUCUGGACAGUGACUGACGCUGAGACGCGAAAGCGUGGGGAGCAAACAGG